AGCCUACCUCUAGCCCCACCACAGCCAAAAAGCUUAAAAACUAACUACCACCACUAAACCAAAACAUUCUUUCAACUUAGUAUAGGCGAUAGAAAAGACCCACAAGGACGCUAUAGAGAACACGUACCGCAAGGGAAAGAUGAAAUAACAUUGAAACCCAAAGCAAUGAACAGCAAAGAUUAACCCUUGUACCUCUUGCAUCAUGGUUUAGCAAGAACAACCAAGCAAAGCGAACUUAAGCUUGCCACCCCGAAACCCGAGCGAGCUACCUGCAAGCAGCUGCCUGUCGAGCGAACCCAUCUCUGUUGCAAAAGAGUGGGAUGACUUGCUAGUAGAGGUGAAAAGCCUACCGAGCCGGGUGAUAGCUGGUUGCCUGUGAGAUGAAUUUAAGUUCCCCCUUAGCCUCUCCCAAACGGACCUGGAACCUCUAUGAGAGGGCUAAGAGUAAUUUAAAGGGGGUACAGCCCCUUUAAAACAGAAUACAAUCUCCCCUAGAGGAUAACACCAUACCGCCAAGGUACAGUAGGCCUUCAAGCAGCCAUCAAUAACGAGUGCGUCAAAGCUCAUCCCACCAUAAAAUCCAACUACCAUAUGACUCCCUUACCCCUAACAGGCCAAUCUACACUACAUAGAAGAAUCAAUGCUAGAAUGAGUAACUCGGGGCCUCUUUUUCCCCUCUCAGGCGCAAACUUAACCCAACCAUUAACGGACAAGGACUAUACCAAGAACCAAACAAGAACAAAUAUUACCCCACCCCGUUAAACCAACCCAAGGAGCGCCUACCAGAAAGAUUAAAAUCCGUGAAAGGAACUAGGCAACCCAAAGGCCCGACUGUUUACCAAAAACAUAGCCUCUAGCACACCAAGUAUUGGAGGUGAUGCCUGCCCAGUGACAUCGUGUUUAACGGCCGCGGUAUCCUAACCGUGCGAAGGUAGCGCAAUCAAUUGUCUCAUAAAUCGAGACCUGUAUGAAUGGCUAAACGAGGUCUUAACUGUCUCUCACGGAUAAUCAGUGAAAUUGAUCCCCCUGUGCAAAAGCAGGGAUGAACACACAAGACGAGAAGACCCUGUGGAACUUAAAAAUCAGCAGCCACUACAAAACCCUCUAUUCCCCCACAAAGGGCCAACCCACCAGACACACCUGACUGCCAUUUUUUGGUUGGGGCGACCCUGGAGAAAAACAAACCCUCCAGACCUAAGACCACACCUCUUAACUAAGAGCACCACCUCCACGUGCUAAAAGCAACCAGACCCAAUAUACCUUGAGCAAUGAACCAAGCUACCCCAGGGAUAACAGCGCAAUCCCCUCCAAGAGCCCAUAUCGACAAGGGGGUUUACGACCUCGAUGUUGGAUCAGGACAUCCUAAUGGUGCAGCCGCUAUUAAGGGUUCGUUUGUUCAACGAUUAACAGUCCUACGUGAUCUGAGUUCAGACCGGAGCAAUCCAGGUCGGUUUCUAUCUGUGACAGACUCUUCCUAGUACGAAAGGACCGGAAAAGUGAGGCCUAUACCACAUAGCAUGCCUCCAAAAAAGCAAUGAACACAACUCAAUUGCCCACUCACCUGCCCCGCCCUAGAAAAGGGCA
rnacentral:rRNA from 1 species